UUCCAUAGAAAGGUAUUAAGUGCCUGUCCAGGCGCUGCUGUUUGGGCGGGAAAAGGGAAUCAGGUGCAAGUCCUGAGCGAUCCGGUCACUGUAAACAGGGAGCAUCCCCCGCAUAAUCCAUUGUACGGAGAGUCCGUAUGAGAAGGAAGGGGAAGAUGUGUCGAUCUGUAAGCCAGGAAACCUGCUUAAUGCUGAAGGAGAAA
rnacentral:ncRNA from 2 species